rnacentral:misc_RNA from 1 species
UCGUAACAAGGUUUCCGUAGGUGAACCUGCGGAAGGAUCAUUACCGAGUGCGGGCUGCCUCCGGGCGCCCAACCUCCCACCCGUGACUACCUAACACUGUUGCUUCGGCGGGGAGCCCCCCAGGGGCGAGCCGCCGGGGACCACUGAACUUCAUGCCUGAGAGUGAUGCAGUCUGAGCCUGAAUACAAAUCAGUCAAAACUUUCAACAAUGGAUCUCUUGGUUCCGGCAUCGAUGAAGAACGCAGCGAACUGCGAUAAGUAAUGUGAAUUGCAGAAUUCAGUGAAUCAUCGAGUCUUUGAACGCACAUUGCGCCCCCUGGCAUUCCGGGGGGCAUGCCUGUCCGAGCGUCAUUGCUGCCCUCAAGCCCGGCUUGUGUGUUGGGUCGUCGUCCCCCCCGGGGGACGGGCCCGAAAGGCAGCGGCGGCACCGUGUCCGGUCCUCGAGCGUAUGGGGCUUUGUCACCCGCUCGAUUAGGGCCGGCCGGGCGCCAGCCGGCGUCUCCAACCUUAUUUUUCUCAGGUUGACCUCGGAUCAGGUAGGGAUACCCGCUGAACUUAAGCAUAUCA